ensembl:snoRNA small nucleolar RNA SNORD121A
GUCCAGAAGACAGUGAUGUAUUUUCCAAGCACAUAUCUGACUGAUCUGUGAGGAAAUGAACUGUUUCUGAGUUUUCUGGAC